rnacentral:rRNA from 1 species
GAAUUGACGGGGACCGCACAGCGGUGAUUAUGUGAUUAUUCGAUGAACGCGAAAACCUUACCUACCCUUGACAUGUCAGAAAAUUUUCAGAGAUGAAUUUGUGCCCGAAAGGGAAUCUGAACACAGGUGCUGCAUGGCUGUCGUCAGCUCGUGUCGUGAGAUGUUGGGUUAAGUCCCGCAACGAGCGCAACCCUUGUCAUUAAUUGCCAUCAUUCAGUUGGGCACUUUAAUGAGACUGCCGGUGACAAACCGGAGGAAGGUGGGGAUGACGUCAAGUCCUCAUGGCCCUUAUGGGUAGGGCUUCACACGUAAUACAGUGGCGCGUACAGAGGGUUGCCAACCCGCGAGGGGGAGCUAAUCUCAGAAAGCGCGUCGUAGUCCGGAUCGGAGUCUGCAACUCGACUCCGUGAAGUCGGAAUCGCUAGUAAUCGCGGAUCAGCAUGUCGCGGUGAAUACGUUCCCGGGUCUUGUACACACCGCCCGUCACACCAUGGGAGUGGGUUUCACCAGAAGCAGGUAGUCUAACCGCAAGGAGGGCGCUUGCCACGGUGAGAUUCAUGACUGGGGUGAGGUCGUAACAAGGUAACCGUA